UACGUAGGGUGCAAGCGUUGUCCGGAAUUAUUGGGCGUAAAGAGCUCGUAGGCGGUUUGUUGCGUCGGCUGUGAAAUCCCGAGGCUCAACCUCGGGUCUGCAGUCGAUACGAGCAAACUAGAGUGUUGCAGGGGAGACUGGAAUUCCUGGUGUAGCGGUGAAAUGUGCAGAUAUCAGGAGGAACACCGGUGGCGAAGGCGGGUCUCUGGGCAACAACUGACGCUGGAGGAGCGAAAGCGUGGGGAGCGAACAGG
rnacentral:rRNA from 1 species